CUUUUGACGGGCGGACAGAAACUCUGUGCUGAAUGUCAAGUUCUGAUU
rnacentral:sRNA from 1 species